rnacentral:rRNA from 1 species
CCUACGGGGGGCAGCAGUGGGGAAUAUUGGACAAUGGGGGCAACCCUGAUCCAGCCAUGCCGCGUGUGUGAAGAAGGCCCUCGGGUUGUAAAGCACUUUCAGUGAGGAAGAACGCCUGGUGGUUAAUACCCAUCAGGAAAGACAUCACUCACAGAAGAAGCACCGGCUAACUCCGUGCCAGCAGCCGCGGUAAUACGGAGGGUGCGAGCGUUAAUCGGAAUUACUGGGCGUAAAGCGCGCGUAGGUGGCUUGAUAAGCCGGUUGUGAAAGCCCCGGGCUCAACCUGGGAACGGCAUCCGGAACUGUCAAGCUAGAGUGCAGGAGAGGAAGGUAGAAUUCCCGGUGUAGCGGUGAAAUGCGUAGAGAUCGGGAGGAAUACCAGUGGCGAAGGCGGCCUUCUGGACUGACACUGACACUGAGGUGCGAAAGCUUGGGUAGCAAACAGGAUUAGAUACCCCUGUAGUC